ensembl:lncRNA
GUGUGUGUGCAAACAAUUCACCAAUUUUAUCCGGACAAUAUGACAAAUGCAGUCAGACAGCAAUCAAUAUUGAUGUAUGUGCAGCAGGACCACAGAACAUCUCAUGGUAAGUUUAGACACAGACUGGAAAAGAAUAUGGUGUAGCAUGCUUACAUUAAUCCUGAUUAAGUAAGAUACAAUCUAAAAAUCUUUUUAUUAAACAAUCAUUUUUUCAUUCUUGGUCUUCUGUCUCAUUUUCUUGUCAUUCUUUUUCAUAGUGGGAACAAUACAAAUGUGAUUAUUCCACUGGCUACUGGUCUUCAGGACAUCUGUCCUACUAGUCCACCACCGCAAACAUGUAAUUGUUCCUCACGCUGCAAUAACUCAGAUUUCUACUAUUACCAUUUUAAUGUACGGUGGAACCAAUACUUGGAAUCCAACUUGGCGCCCCAGUUUGUGAGUAUCAUGUGUAGAAUUAAAGUCAGAACGCUGGAUGUUCAUUCAUAAUCUACAUACUGAUUUGUGAUAGUGCUAUUGAUCCUUGUUUUGAUGUUUUUUGUUAUUCAUAUUUUUCUACAGUUUUUGGACUUGGCAUGCAGCAACAUGCCGUGAGUUGAGACCAUUUUUAUUGCAUCUUUUUGUUUUCAAAAAGACAAAGCAAAUAAAUCUACCAGCUGAACUACAGAAUAUCUACUAAAAUAUGAUAAAGACUUUAGUAAUUCAUUUUAACAGUCCUCUUCUACUUCUGCAUUUUAGAUCUGCAAGUAACAGUUCGCAGACUCGCAUGUGUCACUUUCUGGACGUAGGUGUGUUUGAUUGCAUAAAAAGCAAUCAGGGCAAUACCGAGGCCCCUGCAAUCAAGUGUAGUGUUAUAGUGAAACUAGACACAGCUAUGGACCCGUGUGACGUUCUCUCAAUUGUAGAGGAUAUCUCUGAACUUCAGAAAAACUUCACCUUAGAUGGAGUUGUGAGCAGAGUAGCGGUCUGCUCUUAUUCUUCGGAUCCUUUAAGCCAGAAUUUCAUGUGGAACCCGUCUUUAAGUACAAAUUUCAGUUCUGAAAGCUGCAUGGAGACAGAUUUGUGGACAGAUUACUGCUUAACAGGCGUUAAUGAAGGCAGGUCAAGUAUUGUCAUUCCCCUGAAUGGCAGCUGUAAUUCAUCUGCACCCACUUUUACAAACAGUACCACAACUCCUCCUUUCACAAGUACCCCCCUCUCGAACACAACCAUCCUCAAUGCUACAACAGAGUCUGUGAAUGUAACAACUUCUCCUGCUAAUGUAACAGCCUCAGGGACAUUAGAUGCUGAAGGAUUGUUGAAGUUAAGUGCAAAUGCCUCGUCUUUAAACGGCUCUCAGGUGGACCAGAUUUUAUCACAGCUAGAGUCGCUCCUCUCUGGGCCCAACAUCAGCCUGGCAGUGGCAAACACUUCUGUCGGUAUCGUCAACAACCUCCUCGAUGUUCCUGUAGCUGUAAUAACUCCUUUCUCAAAGAGGGCCAUUGGGGUUGUGGACACAGUGGGUCUUAAACUGGUUGUGUCAGGAACGAGUCAGUCAAUAGUUUCACAGUCACUGGCUCUGGCAGUGAAGAAAGUCGAUGGGACCAACUUUCAGGAGACGUCCUUCUCCCUAACCGAAGCAUCUAGCGUGCAGGUAACAUCUCCAUCAAUAAUUCUUAUUCAUCUUACAGACUACAGAUAA